UAUUUCCGCCGAAAAGCCCAAUGGCGGCCGUGCAUAAGUUUUAAAGUGCCAAAAAUAAACUGAAAUUAAUCCUUGAGAGGAGCUUCAUCAGAAGCUGCAGCGGGCUGCGCAUGCUCAGCAGCGAUGACUCCUCUCUGGUGCCGCUGCUCCUGUUUCCAUAUUUAUCAUCUUGCUGCGACGCCUGUUUACGUGGAACUUUCAGCGCAAGCUGAACAAAAAUGGCGAUAAGCUGGCAAAGCUUAAGGAGAAGAAGCGCGUCCUAUUGGAGCAGGUCAUUUACAAGGAGACCUAUAAGGAAUGCUGCCCAAGGAGGAGUACGAGUACGCUUCAUUCCGGUGUGCCUUUUGCAGUGCACUGAACCAGGCAAGGAAGGAGCGACCUGUGGCACCUCGCCUCUCGCUGGAGGCCCCGACACCGACUAAGCGCAACGAAAGCUCCGAGAGUGAAUCAUCUGAUGACGAGUCAGGAUUCCAAGGAACAACUUCGCCUCUUUGUCCUUUGAGGCGCAAGACGAUAAAAAAAGUUGCUGAAGAAACUACCACAUGAGCGCAUCACCCUCAAGCAGGUCCUAAGCCAUCCAUUAAUUCUGAAGAAAAGCUAUUGAUUAUAGUGCGAAUCGCGGUUAUACGACGACUCCGAGAACGAUUGUGGAAUCCUAACAUUUACCAGCAAUGACUCGAGAAACUCUCAACAAAGAGCCGGUGCAGAAGGCUCACCUGCGCCAGUACGAACUCGGAUUAGAGUUCCGAGUGAGAGCUUACCACUUUAAGCAUGGCGAUAUGAAGCUCAAGUACGUGCCCAAGAUCAGCUCGCUAUAUCUGCGAAAACCAUUUAAAUUUAUUUAAAAUCUGGCAUUGACAUCCGCCUGCGAGAAGGUGGAGGUAGUCACUCCGCCGACCAUGAAGCAGCCGAAGGUCUCCUGGGGAUUCAGGGGAGGCCAGCAACGCGUGCCAACUGGGCAGCUGCAGGCGCUGUACCACCACUCACAGUACUCAAACUUAAAUGGAAAAAAGGAAAGAUAAAAAUGGUUAAAAAAUACAGACACCCCGAUCGUCAUACACGAGUUCACAGCUCCACCGGCCCGCAUAAAUUAGAGCCGAGAUCAGGAGCAGCAGCAAGGCGCACAUUCAGCCUGGAGGUGCGACCCUGAGCAAGUCCGCUGCACAUUUUUUGACUUAUUACCGGCCUCUGUCGACCGUGACAUUUGUUGAAAUUUGCUCAAAAUACCUGAAAACAGCCCGAUCAACGAACUGCAGACUAGCUUGAAAUGAGCUAUACUUGCAGCCAGAACAAAUAAUUUACAAUAAAAUUUAAGGAACAG